UAUACUAAUUUAAAUAGAUAGGAGCUGUACUGUUAUGCCCCUUGUUACAUAGAAAAUAACUGCCCGGGAGCGCUCCAAACAAAGAUGGCCGCCGAGUGGACUGACUUGCUUUGAAAGGGACUUUGAUUCAAAUGAAGAGUCGGCUUAUUGAACCCUUACUGCGCCCUCUGGCGGAAGACAUGCGACAUUUGCAUCCACCCACUCCCGCUGCUUGACGCGAUUGGCUAUUUUCGUUUCACGCUAACAUGACGACACAGUUCUUAUAAAAACACGCGAAUGCUUCCUUCUCUUUCUCUGUGCUGUGGCAGUGCUCAGAAGAGGUUGUGCGCUUUUUGCAGUGUCACUUUUGCAAGGUUUGGGACACUGAUGUGAGUAUUUGUGAGCCUCACGUCGGCAUGCUUGGGUUGAUCAUGUAAUCUAAGAUGGAACGGAGAGUUAUCACAACGUAACAGAAAUCGUGGAGGUUCUCGCCUCUAGAGACUGCCGUUUUGAAUGUCUUGAUAAUUUUGCCUUUGAUUAAAGUGACCCAGUUGUAGACUUGUGCGCACACCAGGGGCCUGAUUCACAAAAUCAUCAACGUUUAUAAUUUUAUAUUGACGAACUGCUUGUUUAUCCCUAACUAGUUUUACUUUAAAAUUUGUCGGGAAUCUGGCCCCAGGGAUGUCGUUUCCAGUGAUCAUCAGAUGGCUUGAUAAAAUGGUAUCGGGUCUGCAUCGUUUUUGAGUUACAAAAAUCUGUUGUAAUGAGCGUGACGUUUUUUUAAUUUAGUGUUUGGCAGCAACUAAUCCGCAUGCACACUUUGUUUUUAUUACUGAACAUUCCUUAAACAACUGACAUGUUUAACCUGUAUAAAUUGUGUUCCUGAUGUAACAAAUACAAAUUUUUUUUUUCUGGUC